UGUANCGUCCGCGACCCGCGCCGGUCCGCCGCCCCCGCCUGGGGAAUUUUCGAAUUGAUCUGACGGUACUUGAUGAAUAAGCCACGGCUAAUUCCGUGCCAGCAGCCGCGGUAAUACGGGAGUGGCAAGCGUUAUCCGGAAUUAUUGGGCGUAAAGCGUCCGCAGGCGGCCCUUCAAGUCUGCUGUUAAAAAGUGGAGCUUAACUCCAUCAUGGCAGUGGAAACUGUUGGGCUUGAGUGUGGUAGGGGCAGAGGGAAUUCCCGGUGUAGCGGUGAAAUGCGUAGAUAUCGGGAAGAACACCAGUGGCGAAGGCGCUCUGCUGGGCCAUCACUGACGCUCAUGGACGAAAGCCAGGGGAGCGAAUGGGAUUAGAUACCCCGGUAUCCAC
rnacentral:rRNA from 1 species